rnacentral:rRNA from 1 species
GAUGAACGCUGGCGGCGUGCCUAAUACAUGCAAGUCGAGCGAACGGACGAGAAGCUUGCUUCUCUGAUGUUAGCGGCGGACGGGUGAGUAACACGUGGAUAACCUACCUAUAAGACUGGGAUAACUUCGGGAAACCGGAGCUAAUACCGGAUGAUAUUUUGAACCGCAUGGUUCAAGAGUGAAAGACGGUCUUGCUGCCACUUAUAGAUGGAUCCGCGCUGCAUUAGCUAGUUGGUAAGGUAACGGCUUACCAAGGCAACGAUGCAUAGCCGACCUGAGAGGGUGAUCGGCCACACUGGAACUGAGACACGGUCCAGACUCCUACGGGAGGCAGCAGUAGGGAAUCUUCCGCAAUGGGCGAAAGCCUGACGGAGCAACGCCGCGUGAGUGAUGAAGGUCUUCGGAUCGUAAAACUCUGUUAUUAGGGAAGAACAUAUGUGUAAGUAACUGUGCACAUCUUGACGGUACCUAAUCAGAAAGCCACGGCUAACUACGUG